UGGGGAAUAUUGGACAAUGGGCGCAAGCCUGAUCCAGCCAUGCCGCGUGAGUGAUGAAGGCCCUAGGGUUGUAAAGCUCUUUCACCGGUGAAGAUAAUGACGGUAACCGGAGAAGAAGCCCCGGCUAACUUCGUGCCAGCAGCCGCGGUAAUACGAAGGGGGCUAGCGUUGUUCGGAUUUACUGGGCGUAAAGCGCACGAAGGCGGACUAUUAAGUCAGGGGUGAAAUCCCGGGGCUCAACCCCGGAACUGCCUUUGAUACUGGUAGUCUUGAGUUCGAGAGAGGUGAGUGGAAUUCCGAGUGUAGAGGUGAAAUUCGUAGAUAUUCGGAGGAACACCAGUGGCGAAGGCGACUCACUGGCUCGAUACUGACGCUGAGGUGCGAAAGCGUGGGGAGCAAACAGG
rnacentral:rRNA from 1 species